AGCUAGCUAGUUUAGAGGCGGAACCCUGAACCCGCAGAGUGAAGUUACUUCCGCAAUCACAUGAUGCGGAAGUUUAAAGCGGCUGACGAGACGCUGAUCAUAACGUUUGUUAAAGCAUUUCUAAUAUUGCACAUUUUCAGAGGGUUCUGUUUUUCUAGUCUUCCCGGGUUCCGACCUUUCUGCCUGUCCUGACCCUGAGCCUGCCUGCCGUUCUCUCCAUGAUUGACUCUGCCUUGGAUUACGAACCUCUACCUGCCUGUCCCUUUGUUAUAAUACAUUUGUUAUAAUACAUUUGUUAUAAUACAUACUAUGAGAACCAAA